rnacentral:rRNA from 1 species
GGGUUUCACCAGAACGUAGGUAGUCUAACCGCAAGGAGGACGCUUACCACGGUGAGAUUCAUGACUGGGGUG